rnacentral:rRNA from 1 species
GAUGAACGCUGGCGGCGUGCCUAAUACAUGCAAGUCGAGCGAACAGAUGAGGAGCUUGCUCCUCUGACGUUAGCGGCGGACGGGUGAGUAACACGUGGAUAACCUACCUAUAAGACUGGGAUAACUUCGGGAAACCGGAGCUAAUACCGGAUAAUAUAUUGAACCGCAUGGUUCAAUAGUGAAAGACGGUUUUGCUGUCACUUAUAGAUGGAUCCGCGCCGCAUUAGCUAGUUGGUAAGGUAACGGCUUACCAAGGCAACGAUGCGUAGCCGACCUGAGAGGGUGAUAGGCCACACUGGAACUGAGACACGGUCCAGACUCCUACGGGAGGCAGCAGUAGGGAAUCUUCCGCAAUGGGCGAAAGCCUGACGGAGCAAAGCCGCGUGAGUGAUGAAGGUCUUCGGAUCGUAAAACUCUGUUAUUAGGGAAGAACAAAUGUGUAAGUAACUAUGCACGUCUUGACGGUACCUAAUCAGAAAGCCACGGCUAACUACGUG